UACGGAGGGUGCAAGCGUUAUCCGGAUUCACUGGGUUUAAAGGGUGCGUAGGCGGGUUGGUAAGUCCGUGGUGAAAUCUCCGAGCUUAAUUCGGAAACUGCCGUGGAUACUAUCAAUCUUGAAUAUCGUGGAGGUAAGCGGAAUAUGUCAUGUAGCGGUGAAAUGCUUAGAGAUGACAUAGAACACCAAUUGCGUAGGCAGCUUACUACACGAUCAUUGACGCUGAGGCACGAAAGCGUGGGGAGCAAACAGG
rnacentral:rRNA from 1 species